rnacentral:rRNA from 1 species
CCUACGGGUGGCAGCAGUGGGGAAUAUUGCACAAUGGGGGAAACCCUGAUGCAGCGACGCCGCGUGAGUGAAGACGGGUUUCGGCUCGUUAAGCUCUGUUGGUAGUGAAGUAAGAUGAAGGUAGUGACUGGCCUUUAUUUGACGGUAAUUACUUAGAAAGUCACGGCUAACUACGUGCCAGCAGCCGCGGUAAUACGUAGGUGGCUAGCGUUGUCCGGAUUUAUUGGGCGGAAAGCGAGCGCAGGCGGUUCAAUAAGUCUGAUGUGAAAGCCUUCGGCUCAACCGGAGAAUUGCAUCAGAAACUGUUGAACUUGAGUGCAGAAGAGGAGGGUGGAACUCCAUGUGUAGCGGUGGAAUGCGUAGAUAUAAGGAAGAACACCAGUGGCGAAGGCGGCUCUCUGGUCUGCAACUGACGCUGAGGCUCGAAAGCAUGGGUAGCGAACAGGAUUAGAUACCCCAGUAGUC